UCUCUUGAUAUUUUGAGGCGGUGACUAA
rnacentral:sRNA from 1 species